GAGUAAAAAAUCUAUAGUAUUUUUUUUUUUUUUGAAAAAAAAGAUAGCAUGUUAUUCACUUUGUUUUAUUUUUUAAAAAAUAAACUUAGCUGAAAAUAUGAAUAACUUAGCUAAAAAUAUAAAUCAAUUAGAAUUUGAACUUGAGAUCUCAAGUAUCAACCACCAAAUCAUUUGCCACUUGCACUAAUUAAUUAAUCAUUUUGAGGGACAGGUAGCAUUCUGCCCGCUUCGUUUAUUUCAUUUAGAAAUAAAUUUUGCUAAAAAUAUAAAUAAAGUAGGAUUCAAACUUGAAAUUUCGGAUACCAACCAUCAAAGUCUUUUCUACUUAGGUUAGGGACGGUCGGUUUGCACUAGUUAAUUUCAAUUCGAUACAAUAAUAGUAGCAUCUAUAACUAUAUAUUAUUCUUCAAUAACUGCACACGUAUUGCAAGGAGGCCGAGGCGCGGGCGGC
rnacentral:lncRNA from 1 species